rnacentral:lncRNA from 12 species
AAAAGUGCCCCUGGAGAGGAGUCAAUAAAGCCAAUCAGCUCUGAGCACUCAAGGGGCAGGCCUCCUUUCCAAAGCAGCCUGGGGCAAAGAAAGUGCCCUGGACGAGGAGCUCCGGGCGGAGCUGGCCUCCCAGCAGCUGGCAGAGCCGCUCUCUGCCUCAGUUUGCUCACCCGGAAGCCGUGGGGUCAGCGUUUUGCCAUUGGUGAUGCUACAUCGACCUCCGGCUCCAGGGCUUCUUCUCCAUUCUUUCCUCGUGUGGAGAACAGAAUGAAGAGAAAUAUCAACCCGCCCAGACACACAGACUCUUGCAAAGCCCAUACUGCUCUUGAAGGAAGGGCCUGUCCCCUCUUCUCAGCCUUGCCCCUCGCAUGUGAAAGCAUCAGGCUGACCUUGGAGGGGAAGGUGUGGCUGCCAGUUUCCACCAAGACCAAACCCACAGCAGCAAAACAGCUCCGCAGCCUCUCAGUCUGGGGACCGUGAUCUGCCUCAAGGUCCCAGUAAAAAUGAGACGUUUGAAGGAAAACAGGCUACAUUUGAAGAGCGGGGGACAUCAAGAAAGAGAAAACAGCUAUAAAUACCACUUCUCUCCCCUUUUACACUGAGCCUUCUGUUAAAGGUACAUUUACCAGGUUUUUUGUGUUCUUUUUUUCCUAGUUCAACUAGAAAAACAUAAAUAUUUAGUCAUUUCAUAACAGCUGACAAGUGGGCCACAGGUUAAGGGACACUAUGUAUUUCUAAGAAAGUUCAUCUAACAACAUGUACCUUUGGGAGGAGAAUCCCAAAGUCUGUUUUAGAAACAAACCUGACCAUGAUGACUUUUGUCUUGAUAUUCUCACAGGAUCAAAUCUUAAAGAUGCCAAAGGCAUUGAUACCAUCUUUGCAAACAAUGAGAUCCAUUUCGUGUUUUUAAAUUAACACAGGACAGAAAAAUCAAAACACUGGUAAUAACACAUGAUCAUUCUUGAGGUUGUCUAUGGAAAUCACUAAUUGCUAGUUAAAUUAAUGGAUACUGUAUUAACAUCUCAAUACUAUAAACCAAAAAAAAAGCAAAAUUCCUGAGUGACAAGACAAUCCAUAACAGAACCAAAAAAGACAACAAUGUACAUUAAUAGAGUCAGGGGCCCAAAGAAUAUUACACAUCAUCACUACUAGGUGAAACCCUCCUGUUGGCAUCACCCUGAUGCUUUGCAGAAGGCAGAUGUUUUUAUUUUGAAUACAGUAGGAAGAGGCAGAUGGGAAGAGGGUAGAAGCUUUCUUAACAAAAAUCAACCAGCAUAAAGGAAGAAAAAAAUACUGAACAAUGUACAGAAUUCUCUAUGUUAUAUGCCAUUAUUGCUCUGUUAAAAAAUAAAAAGCCCAAAAUACCUACA